UUAUAACUUACCACAUUUAACAGGGGGAUAUACCAAACGGAGGGAGAAGAGCAUCGCUAGGCUGGGGAGUAUUAUUUCUGAUAGCGUUUGAUGGUUACAAACCCUGAGUAGACGGGGAGCCUGCAGCUCUCCAGGUAACUUCCUCAGUUUGUUUAUAUAUGUUGGCUAGGAGCAACUUACUCCGUCCUUCUGUAUCCGGACUUCUGUGAAAUAAUUAAGGGCUUAAUUUGUGUGAGGAAUCGACCUAUAUCAAUAGUUACGAAUGCAAUACCUAAAUCUGGAUUUACCUACAUAAGUACCGUGCACGUGCCAGGGGUCGGACAGCUGUCGUGAAGUUCAGUGGCUGGACUCUAAAAGUUUGUAAAGGAUAUGGAACCUGCUGAAGUAACAGACAUUACUAAGAAAUUACUAAGUACAGGAACAACACAUUACUGGAUUGUACCAGUAUAAUCACAGCAAGGUGACGGGACUCUAGAACUAUAGACAGGCAAGUACCCAACUACAUAGAGGUGGAUAGCUACAGAGUGACACACUAUUAACAGCGUUGGAUAGUCUCAGAGUGCCGAACUACAUAGAGGUGGAUAGUCACUCUAUCAACAGCUUCGGAUAGUCUCAGAGUGCCUCACAACACAGCAGUAGUUCCACACUAUAAACAUUGGUGGCUCAUUUUGUCACACAGUGGUGCCGCACUAUAAACAUUGGUGGCUCUUUUUGUCACACAGUGGUGCCACACAAUAAACAUUGGUGGCUCUUUUUGUCACACAGUGGUGCCACACUAUAAACAUUGGUGGAUCUAUUAGUGUACAGUGCCACACCACACAGACUUGGUUCCAUCACCACCAAACUUUCACCACAGGGUGGAUACAUUUGUGGAUACUGCCGCCUGUUUGUUGAUACACCCACCCACCUGUGGAUACAUCGUUUGGUGACAGUGAAGUCAGCCUGUGGUAGCAGUGGUGAUCGAGACAUCAUGGAGAUCAGCUGUGUCCAUCAGGUGUUAACUGUUUUAUUGGGAUUUUACUUAUUUACAGUGUCCAGUGCCAGCGUCCAGAACAUAUUUGUCAGUGGCUGUUCCCGGGAGACAAUGGAGUUGGGAUGUCCGUUGGGUCACAAGAUAGCCAUCAAAAGACUGUUUUAUGGUGUCAAGUCUGACCGCAAAUGUGCAGACAGGGGACGUAAGCAUAAGAGUGACUGUUGUCGUCGGACAUAUGACGACUGUCUGAUAUUUAACGAGGAUAAGUACAAUGUGCUGAAUAUAAUGUGUUCAGGCUACAGGAACUGUGAGGUUGACGUGAAGAAAAUUAACACCCGAGGGGAGUGUGAUAACCCAGAGUGGCGGCUAACAGACUACAUGACCGUCAUCUACGACUGUGUGGCAGACACAGAUGUUGCCAGGUUCUGUUCCAAUGACCAUAAGAGGGGUAAGGAGUUGUACUUGUCCAAUAUUGACUACCCCUCACCCAUAGUGCCAGGGCCACACACCUGUCGCUGUGUGCUCAAGUCUGGUUAUACCCAAGGUCUGUCCAUCCAUGCCAUCGACAUCAUGAUCACUCAGCCAGAGGACAGUACGCUCUGCCCCCAGCGCCUUAGUAUCCAGGACACCUACGGCCAGAUCAAGAUCAUCCGCUGUGGCCAUGGGGGGCUGUAUGGGUUCCGUACUAUCUACAAUCGAAUGGUGACCAAUGUCAGCCUCGAACUGGAGAGCAACGUGAAUGACAGUCGUGGCUACGUUUGGCUACACCUCAAAAGCGAGAACACUGAAGACUUUGUGAAUCUAUACUGUGGAGAGGCUAUCAGUUCCCUCACUGCUGGACCAGCCACAAACACCAGUGUGAUCCAGAAUCCAACAAGAGCGCCCCCUGUAGGGAACAAUACUGUAUAUCCUAGCAAAGGGUGGUCAACUCCACGGCUCAUACCUGAUAUGGUGGCCAUCAUUGGAGGGAUUGCUGCUGCUGUUGCCCUGAUACUACUGGUCUGUCUGGUAGCCAUUGCUGUCCAUUGUACAAGAGUCAGAGAGCAGCGCCAUCCCAAGUUGCCUGAAGUCAUUCCAUCACCAAUGGUCCGCGGGAAAUCUUACGAUAGUGACGAGCCUGACGCUACCAUACAGAGGUAUAACUACGACGAGGAGCGCUACUGUUCCAUUAAGAGGUCACCAAUGAAAAUGACCAAAUACUCAGAAUUUGAUGGUGAUUCUGACAAAAAAUUGAAGGAGGCCUUUCUUGCACCUGAUAAUACUCCAGAGGAUGAUAUGCACAUAAUGUCUAAUGGGGCACCUCCUCGACCACCAUCUCCUGACCCCGCCCUACUGGAUGUUACCCCUCCACCAAUGUACAAUGGCGAUUUGGAGAAAUAUUACACAAUGAACCCACAGAAACCCAAGACAGAAAUAGCAGAAAUUAGAAUAACAUCUUCUUUACCUCACAGAGGGAAAACUAAAAAAUCUGUGACAUUUUCUCCAGUUGCUAUGGUUACUCCUUUACCUUCAGGAUCAGAGGAAUCCAUUGGCUCUGAUGGAGACAGAAAUUUAGCCAAUGUGAUAGACAUUUACCAGAAUUUACAGGGCAAGCAGGGCCCGAGGUCCCCAGACCUGAAGGAAGCGAAACAUGUGAUGAUCUUGCCCCCUCCUCCUGACGAGAACAGCGUGCCAAUAAACACUCCAGAUCCUCUGGAACUGGCCGAAAUGGAGGAAUUAUGGAAGACGCUGACAACCACCACCAUGGAUGAGGGUGCUUAUGACAAUAUUGAGUAUUUGCUGGCACAGAAUAGGGCCAAUAAUCACUGUGAGGUCAAUGGGGUCAAACCCAAAAGUUUUGAAACAGGUGUGUGACAUUGAGUCUGCCUUCACCACACAUAUGUACAUAGUACAAUAUCAUUAAAAAUAAUUGUGUUGAGACUAUAAACAGCAAACACAAACACUUGAUCCUGUACGACCAUUCUGUUUAUCCCAUCAUAGUUUAUGGUAUAUAAAGGGGCAUAACCCCUAUAUCACUGCCCAGCUUAAAUUUCUUUGUGCAAUAUUAUUAUAUAUUUCUUUUUAGUACUUAACUCAGGUUUAAUUAUUUAUUGAUAGCUAUUUAUGUAUUUCUUUUUCUAUAAAAUUGUGGUUUUAUCAGAUGAAAGCUGAAGGACUUUCUAAUAACUUUCAUUUUAGUUAUGUAAAUGUAUGAUUUGGUGUUAUAUCAAUUAUUUACAGAUCAUGCUUUUAUCAUCUGGAUAAUCAAAAUAAACUUGCUUAUGAAUGAAAUAACCUUUCUUCUGAAUCAUAGCCAUUAUGGUAUCACAAAUGUUCUGUAAAAGUGUUUAAUUCUUUGUAUUCAGAAUUCUCACCAGUUUUAAAUACUUGAAGUCUGUUGAUAUUUUUCUCAUCAAAAUAUAUAUGUAAAGUAGUGUUUUUAAGUACAAUUUCUGAAAAAAUUACAAACAUACUAACUAAUCUAUUACAUACAGAAAUGUGUGCCUUUUUAUAUUGCUGAGUUUUUCUAUGUUGUUGAAAUAAUCUUCAAAUCAUUUAAACUGCUGAACAUUUCAAUACAAAAAAUGCCCAAACUCACAAAACAAAUACACACAUUUUGUACUUGUUAAUUAUAAAAUAACAAUCUUUGAAUGUAUUUAAAGUUAGGUUGAUGGUGAUUAACACAUUCACCCCUGAAAUAUCAUAAUAAACUAUUCCAUCCUUUGAAUUGGAAGAGUUCAAAUGUGUCUUCAGGGGUGAAUGAGUUAAUAGCAGAACUCUGCUGAAAUGUUUAGAUGGACCAUCUAUGUUUAAUUCAAUUAAGGACAUUUCUUUUAAAACAUGUCAUCGGCUGUCCUAGCAUUUAUUUCACUUUCAUUGGUUGAACACUGGUGAUAAGUGUAAAUACCAACUAUUAAGCCCACCAAAGUAAUAGUACGGUAUGAUAAUGGUCACACUUGUAAAUAAAACCUUGUAUGCUGUAUGUACAUGGUCAAACAUUGGAACAAAUGUAUUCAUUUCAUCCCUUCCCUAGGUCCUCCAAGUCUCCACAGGUAAACAUGGGAAUAAAUGUACAAAUUUCAUCCCUUCCCUAGGCCUAGGGCUCCCAGUCUCCACAGAUAAACAUGGUAAUAAGUUAACUCAUUUCAUCCCUUCCCUAGCUAUAGUGCUCCAAAACUCCACAGGUAAACAUGGUAAUAAAUGUACUCAUUUCAUCCCUUCCCUAUAGUCCAGAGCUCCACAGAUAAAACAAAAUUGAAUAAUUGUUUAUGAACCCAUUUCAUCUUCCCUAGACUUCCCAGUCUCCACAGGUGAACAUGGAAAUAAAAGAACCCAUGUCAUCCCAGCUGUCACUAGGUAUCUGGGUCACCAGUAAAACGGUUGUUAAGAUCUCCAAAACUUAAAUCAUGUUAAAUGAACAUGUUAAAUGAAAAAGUAGAAUAAAAAUGUUGGUGAAUCAACACAAUUAUCCGGCACGGAGAUCCAACGUCCUACAGGCAAUGGUCUGUGGUCUGUCUGGUACAGGAAUCAGAGGUUGAUAUCACAAGGAUAUUCAAACCUUAUUUACCUUAUUAAAUCAUGUUAGUUAUCAAAACACUGCACGCAUUGUUACACACUCUUUCCCUAUUUCUUACAUUUUUUCCUACUUUUUUGAAAAGUACUGUAUUGACAAAUGAUUUUUGUAUGUUUUAUCACGCAACUUCUGCAUUACAUAUUCAAUUGAUAGAAAUAAAGUAUUAAUAUAUAAAAUUUACCUUAUCAUUCCAGUUUGUUUUCAUAUACCAUAGUUGUAUACAAACAUAGCUUAUAAUGUAAGUCAUAACCUUGGUAGUUAUAAAUAAAGACAACUCAUGAUGUAAGUAUAAAAAUGUAUCAUAGAAAUGUAUGGAAUCAUUGUAACCAUAGAAACGUAAAAUAAUGUAAACUGUCUAGUCAUGUCUGUUGUUAACGUGUUUUAUAACUUUUGUAAGAAGCUUUGCACAUAUUGGUUCUAAUGUCUUGUUCUUGCACAUCCAUAGUUUGUGUGUGUGUUGUGUGGUGUUGGCAAGUACAGAGGAUAUCAUACAGGUUCUAUUCCUUUUUUCCUCUGACCCUCUGACCUUCUGACCUUCUGACCCUGCCACCAGACCUUAUGAGAAAGUUGGACAUUUGACCCUAAACAAGGGAGUUAAUAAGUCUCUUCCUCCACCAAAGACGGGAUUGGAAUAAUGAACAAAAGAGAUGUUUUUACAAGGGGAAUUCACUCCUGAGGGCCUAGUUCAAGCUUGUUAUGCUGUUCCCUACUCUCUUUACUUACAACAGGUCACUUCUAUGUAUACACAAAUUAUGAGAAUGUCCUGUAACAAUUAUCUGCUUGAAGUCAAAAGAACUACACUCGAUUUUCAGAAUUGAGAGGAAUGAAAAUGAUUUUGAUGUAUGAAUUUUUAAAAUAUGGAAAUUUUGUUCACCAGGCCAAUGGUGAGAGGGUCAGGGGGUACUCAGAGUUUUAUAGGUUGAAGUAUGAAUGAUAUUCAUGCUUCUCUUAUAAAAAACACCUGUUUUGUUUGUGUGUCCAAAAUACAUGUUCAAAACACUGAACAACAAUAUUAAUUUACAAUGAUAAGCGGCAGAAUUGUAAUACUGCAUGUAUAUUUUCCCAGAUUUCCUUUCAAGAAUAAUGGACAUUGCAAAUAAAAUAAAAUUUCAUUUGAGUUGUUGAAUGACACCUUUAACAAAUAUUGCAUUUUUUCUAAAAAAUGAUAU
rnacentral:misc_RNA from 1 species